CUACGGGAGGCAGCAGGGAGGAAUAUUGGACAAUGGGGGAAACCCCGAUCCAGCCAUGCCGCGUGAGUGAAGAAGGCCUUCGGGUUGUAAAGCUCUUUCGGCCGGAACGAAAUCGCGCCCCCUAAUACGGGGUGUGGAUGACGGUACCGGAAGAAGAAGCACCGGCUAACUACGUGCCAGCAGCCGCGGUAAUACGUAGGGUGCGAGCGUUAAUCGGAAUUACUGGGCGUAAAGCGUGCGCAGGCGGCGCGCCAAGUCAGAUGUGAAAGCCCCGGGCUUAACCUGGGAAUUGCGUUUGAAACUGGCGGGCUGGAGUGUGGCAGAGGGAGGUGGAAUUCCACGUGUAGCAGUGAAAUGCGUAGAGAUGUGGAGGAACACCGAUGGCGAAGGCAGCCUCCUGGGCCAACACUGACGCUCAUGCACGAAAGCGUGGGGAGCAAACAGGAUUAGAAACCCUAGUAGUCC
rnacentral:rRNA from 1 species